AGCGAACGCUGGCGGCGUGGAUAAGACAUGCGAGUCGGACGGGAUUUUCCGUUGUAGCAAUACGAUGGAAAGUCUAGUGGCGAACGGGUGCUUAACACGUGGGCAACCUGCCAGGAAGUGGGGGAUAGCUCGCCGAAAGGCGAAUUAAUACCGCAUGUGAUUAGAGAGGACAUCCUUUCGAAAUUAAAGUCGGGGCAACCUGACGCUUCUUGUGGGGCCCGCGGCCUAUCAGCUAGUUGGUGAGGUAAUGGCUCACCAAGGCUUUGACGGGUAGCUGGUCUGAGAGGACGACCAGCCACACUGGGACUGAGACACGGCCCAGACACCUACGGGUGGCAGCAGUCGAGAAUUUUUGACAAUGGGGGAAACCCUGAUCGAGCGACGCCGCGUGGAGGAUGAAGGUCUUCGGAUUGUAAACUCCUGUCAUUGGGGAACAAGGUGCAUACGUUAACUGCGUGUGCAUUGAUAGUACCCGAAGAGGAAGAGACGGCUAACUCUGUGCCAGCCGCCGCGGUAACAC
rnacentral:rRNA from 1 species